UUAAGUGACUAAGCGUACACGGUGGAUGCCUUGGCAGUCAGAGGCGAUGAAGGACGUGCUAACCUGCGUUAAGUACGGAUGAGCUGGUAAGAAGCGCUUGAGUCCGUAAUAUCCGAAUGGGGAAACCCACUGCACUCAGUGCAGUAUCGUUAGGUGAAUACAUAGCCUAACGAGGCGAACCGGGGGAACUGAAACAUCUAAGUACCCCGAGGAACAGAAAUCAACCGAGAUCCCCUCAGUAGCGGCGAGCGAACGGGGGCCAGCCCUUAAGCAGACUCAGUGAUAGUGGAAUGGUCCUGGAAAGACCAACCGUAGUGGGUGAUAGUCCCGUACACUAAAUUGCUUUUUCUGUGAAAUCGAGUAGGACGGGGCACGUGAAACCUUGUCUGAAUAUGGGGGGACCAUCCUCCAAGGCUAAAUACUCCUGACUGACCGAUAGUGAACCAGUACCGUGAGGGAAAGGCGAAAAGAACCCCUGUGAGGGGAGUGAAAUAGAACCUGAAACCGUGUGCGUACAAGCAGUGGGAGCCCCCUUGAGGGGUGACCGCGUACCUUUUGUAUAAUGGGUCAGCGACUUAUAUUCUGUAGCAAGGUUAACCGUAUAGGGGAGCCGUAGGGAAACCGAGUCUUAACUGGGCGACGAGUUGCUAGGAGUAGACCCGAAACCCGGUGAUCUAGCCAUGAGCAGGUUGAAGGUUGAGUAACAUCAACUGGAGGACCGAACCCACUAAUGUUGCAAAAUUAGGGGAUGACUUGUGGUUGGGGGUGAAAGGCCAAUCAAACCGGGAGAUAGCUGGUUCUCCCCGAAAGCUAUUUAGGUAGCGCCUCGGACGAAUACUUACGGGGGUAGAGCACUGUUUGGACUAGGGGGUCAUCCCGACUUACCAACUCCAUGCAAACUCCGAAUACCGUAAAGUACUAUCCGGGAGACACACAGCGGGUGCUAACGUCCGUUGUGAAGAGGGAAACAACCCAGACCGCCGGCUAAGGUCCCCAAGUCAUAGUUAAGUGGGAAACGAAGUGGGAAGGCUCAGACAGCCAGGAUGUUGGCUUAGAAGCAGCCAUCAUUUAAAGAAAGCGUAAUAGCUCACUGGUCGAGUCGGCCUGCGCGGAAGAUGUAACGGGGCUAAACUAUGCACCGAAGCCGCGGAUGUGCACUUUGUGCACGUGGUAGGGGAGCGUUCUGUAAGUCUGCGAAGGUGUGUUGUGAAGCAUGCUGGAGAUAUCAGAAGUGCGAAUGCUGACAUGAGUAACGAUAAUGGGGGUGAAAAACCUCCACGCCGGAAGACCAAGGGUUCCUGUCCAACGUUAAUCGGGGCAGGGUGAGUCGACCCCUAAGGCGAGGCCGAAAGGCGUAGUCGAUGGGUAACGGGUUAAUAUUCCCGUACUGACGUAUAUUGCGAUGGGGGGACGGAGAAGGCUAGGUGGGCCAGGCGUUGGUAGUCCUGGUGAAAGGCGGUAGGCAGUGAGUUUAGGUAAAUCCGGACUCACAAUGCCGAGAGCUGAGACGAAGUCACUACGGUGGCGAAGCCAUUGACGCCCUGCUUCCAGGAAAAGCCUCUAAGCUUCAGAUAUACGUUAAUCGUACCCCAAACCGACACAGGUGGUCGGGUAGAGCAUACCAAGGCGCUUGAGAGAACUCGGGUGAAGGAACUAGGCAAAAUAGUACCGUAACUUCGGGAGAAGGUACGCUGGAGCGAGUGAAAUCCCUUGCGGAUGGAGCUUAUGCCAGUCGCAGUGACCAGGUGGCUGGAACUGUUUAUCAAAAACACAGGACUGUGCAAACUCGCAAGAGGACGUAUACGGUCUGACACCUGCCCGGUGCUGGAAGGUUAAAUGAUGGGGUUAUCCUUUUGGAGAAGCUCUUGAUUGAAGCCCCAGUAAACGGCGGCCGUAACUAUAACGGUCCUAAGGUAGCGAAAUUCCUUGUCGGGUAAGUUCCGACCUGCACGAAUGGCGCAAUGACGGCCAGGCUGUCUCCACCCGAGACUCAGUGAAAUUGAAAUCGCCGUGAAGAUGCGGUGUACCCGCGGCAAGACGGAAAGACCCCGUGAACCUUUACUAUAGCUUUACAGUGGAUUUUGAAUCUUUUUGUGCAGGAUAGGUGGGAGGCUUUGAAGCACAGACGCUAGUUUGAGUGGAGCCAUCCUUGAAAUACCACCCUGAAAGUUUUGAAAUUCUAACUUAGAUCCAUUAUCUGGAUUAAGGACAUUGUAUGGUAGGUAGUUUGACUGGGGCGGUCUCCUCCGAAAGAGUAACGGAGGAGUACGAAGGUACCCUCAGCCCGGUCGGAAAUCGGGCUAAUGAGUGCAAAAGCAAAAGGGUGCUUGACUGCGAGACAGACACGUCGAGCAGGUACGAAAGUAGGUUUUAGUGAUCCGGUGGUUCUGUAUGGAAGGGCCAUCGCUCAACGGAUAAAAGGUACUCUGGGGAUAACAGGCUGAUACCGCCCAAGAGUUCAUAUCGACGGCGGUGUUUGGCACCUCGAUGUCGGCUCAUCACAUCCUGGGGCUGAAGUAGGUCCCAAGGGUUGGGCUGUUCGCCCAUUAAAGUGGUACGCGAGCUGGGUUCAGAACGUCGUGAGACAGUUCGGUCCCUAUCUGCCGUGGGCGUUGGAAAUUUGAGAGGAGCUGCUUCUAGUACGAGAGGACCGAAGUGGACAUAUCUCUGGUGUUUGGGUUGUCAUACCAAUGGCAUAGCCCAGUAGCUACAUAUGGACGGGAUAACCGCUGAAAGCAUCUAAGCGGGAAGCCUUCCUCAAGAUUAGAUUUCCCUAGGGGUUUAACCCCUCUAAAGGUCCGUCGAAGACUACGACGUUGAUAGGUUGGGUGUGUAAGUGCAGUAAUGCAUUGAGCUUACCAAUACUAAUUGACCGUGAGGCUUGACCAU
rnacentral:rRNA from 1 species